CCUGGAUACAGAAUUGAACAGAGCAAAUCUAGAACAUUUCCAUUAUCUCAGAAAGUUCUAACAGACAAACUUGAUCUAGACCCUGGCCCCAAAUUCUAACAACACCUAAGAAAACAAAUUCCUUCCGAGGUUAAACUUGGGGUGCCAGGAACACCACCUCUCCUGAAGGAAAGCAUGGAACUAAGGAGACGCAGAUGAAUAAGACCUGGUCCCUGCCUUCAAGGCCUCCACAAAUUAAUGGGUGAGACCAACAGAAAAUGAAUCAAAGCACGAGUGUGAUAUCAGCCAAACGGUCUCAAAGCUCCCCUGACCAUCCAAGCUUGAGAAGGAUCUCCCCACCAACACCUUGUGCCUCUCACCUAAUUUCGCUUUGCACUGUGACCACACUUCCUGCUUACCCAUUUACUACCGAGCU